rnacentral:rRNA from 1 species
UACGUAGGGGGCAAGCGUUGUCCGGAAUCAUUGGGCGUAAAGCUCGUGUAGGCGGCUUGGUAAGUCCGUUCUGAAAGCCCGGGGCUCAACCCCGGGAGGCGGAUGGAUACUGUCAAGCUUGAGUCCGGAAGAGGCGAGUGGAAUUCCCGGUGUAGCGGUGAAAUGCGCAGAUAUCGGGAGGAACACCAAUGGCGAAGGCAGCUCGCUGGGACGUGACUGACGCUGAGACGCGAAAGCGUGGGGAGCAAACAGG